rnacentral:rRNA from 1 species
UACGGGGGGGAGCAAGCGUUGUUCGGAUUUACUGGGCGUAAAGGGCGCGUAGGCGGCCACCGCAAGUCAGUUGUGAAAUCUCUGGGCUUAACCCAGAACGGUCAGCUGAUACUGCGGGGCUAGAGUGCAGAAGGGGCAACUGGAAUUCUCGGUGUAGCGGUGAAAUGCGUAGAUAUCGAGAGGAACACCUGCGGCGAAGGCGGGUUGCUGGGCUGACACUGACGCUGACAGCGCGAAAGCUAGGGGAGCGAACGGG